rnacentral:snoRNA from 1 species
CCCUGUAUCCGAAAGUGAUCUUGGCUGCCUGUGCUCUGGUCAUUGGUAGUGCAGGGAAAGGAUGCUGAAAGACAGGUUCCUGGAUUUGGGGCCUCUGUUCUGACCCCUCAAAAACAUGGAGCCUUCCUACA